rnacentral:lncRNA from 1 species
UGAGCAGGGCUCUGAAGAGACAGAUAAAAGGAGAGUCAGAUCCCUGGGUCUGCCUAUUUUCAUGGAGGCUUGGAGCACUGUACAUAUUUCUCCAGUUCCCAGAGGCCAUGACUAGGUCUCCUUCCCUGUUAAAUGGGCAAUACCUUACAUGAAAGUUUGGGAACCAAGGUCACAGAUCGUGAAAUGAAGUUAAACUAGGCUGCUAGAGUUGCCACCUUGGCUCUGUGCAAAGAUCAAAGGCUCUCUUUGGUGAGAAAAAGCCACCCUCAUUGUGCCUGCCAACAUUUUACAUCUGGAUCUACAUAUUAUCUGCUGAUUUUAUAAACUACUUCCUUCCCAGAAAUCCAAACUAGCCUUGUUUUAUAGAUGUGGAACUGCAGUCUCCUAGUUUCUGGAUGAGCUUACACUGGGCCCUUUGGGCUUCUGUCUUCCCACUAGGCCAUGCUAUGGAGAUUGCACAAUGGACCUAUUGCUUCAAAGGAGAGUCACACAACACUCCCCAGCCACUGUGUUGACAGCCCUGGGCUGGAGGAAAGGCAGCAGUCUUCACAGAGCUCACUUUACGGCUGGGCUCACCCUUCACCCCAAGACAGCUUUGAUCACUGGGAAGUUUCCACAAACACAGAAUGAAUGAGGAAGAAGGUGAUUAUAUUUUCGGUGUGAUCCACGUGGACGAGAGGUGUUGCAUGUUUUUACAAAUUGAAGAUCUGUGACAACCCUGGGUCAAGCAAGUCUAUCAGUGCCAUUCUUCCAACAUAGGUGUAUAUGCUGGAGCAGCUGUACUUAAGUCCAGAAAUAAGAAGAUAUUUGAUCUGAGGACUCAGGAGAGAGCAUGGCUGCUGCAUAGAUGGUGCCUUCCAUCGCUUGACAUAGGGAAGCCCAGCCAAAGCCUGUGUCUUGGGCAGCCGGGGAGCUCUCAGGAUGGCUUGAAAUCUCCCACAUGGCCUGGGCCUGUUCUCCUUCCCCUCCAGCUCUCCUGGGUGCAGUCAAAGCUUCACUCCCUACACCCUACUGAACUAUCAGCUGACUGAUUCCCACUUGUCCAUGCCCCAGGACCCCACAGAAGCUCCACAUGCUUCCACAAGCUGAUGCACCAGUUCCAAGAGGAGGAAGAAAAGCUGGCACUCAGCCUUUAUUUCUCCCCAAACACCACAGUCAUUCAAUUCUGAAAAAAAAAAAAAAAAAAAAACCCAUUGCUUUGAAAAACAUAAAAUGAGAUCUAUCAAACAGCAUCUUGUAUUUUAAAGUGGAAAGAAUGGACUUUGGAAUCAUCUUUGGCAGCUAAUAGGCUGGGACACGCAGAGAAAGAGCUUGCCUGCCUCUGCAGACAUUCCUUGGACGAGUGGUUCUAAAUCCCAGCUACACACUCAAAUAGCUGCAGGAGGUUUAAAAACUGUCAAAUCUCCCAGCCCCUGCCCAGCCCAGUCAAUAUUUAUCUCAGGAGGAGGAGCCCUAAAACCAGUGUCUUUUCACAGAGCUCCCUACAUGACUUUGAUGUGUGGCCAGGUGAUAUCUCCUGAGUUCGGAGACACUGAUGCUAUCACUCACACCUAGUCAAAUGAGAGGAGUCGGGGAUGACAGAAGAAUGCAGGCAACUUACCUACCUGAAGCUGGGGCCUCAAGGUCACCAUGCCCUUGAGUGAGCCCUGUAUGGGUCUACCUUGUGUCUGAUGGUUCUCAGCAGGCACAGCUUCUCUUCAGGGCUUCUGCCGACAUCUUCCCUGCAUGUGGAAAAUGGCCUGGGGUCCCCUUAGACUCAGCUCAUGUCCUCCCCUUUGCUCAGGUUCCCUCUGAGUCCCGGUACCCGCCCAUGCUGCAGACCUCCUCAUGACUCCUUCCUCCCUGAGGCCUGGCCAUCUGCACACCCCCAUCCUAUCCUGUCAGCUUGUUUUUUGUCUCUUUGGUGACCAGACAUGAACCCCUCAAGGCUGUUCCCUCCACAUCCCCAGCGCUCAGUUUCAGGCCAGCCCAGGGCAGGAUGCACCUCGUGCAGACCAAGGGAAAGAGCCAGCAGCUGCUUCACAUGAGCCUGUCCUCUGCACCUGAAGAGAAUCUUUGGAAGGCCAGCGCCCCCACUUGUCCUGAAGGUGGAGGGGCUGUUCCCUCUAGCCCACACCUGUCAUUCUAGGACUAACUUUCACUUUUUGGAAGCCAGAGCCACUCCCGACCAUUCAGGGCCUUUCAGCAUUCGGAAGGGACAGUGACUCCUCCUUAGAUACCACAUGUAGGACAGGAGGGAAGUUCAAGAGUGGUGUCAAGGGCCAGAGACAGGGAAGCUGGGGGGUCUGAAAGAAGCUUCCAGGAGAUGUCUUCACUGCAAAAUACCAUACACCAAGGGGCUACAGGCUAAAACAAGACAUGUAUUUCUCACAGUUCUGGAGGUUGGGUGUUGGGGAUUAAGGUGCCAGCCAGCAUGGUGGGUCCCUGGUGAGGACUCUCUUCCUGGCUCACAGGUAGCCGACUUCUCACUGUGUCCUCACAUGUGGGAAAGAAAGCUCUGGUCUCUUCAUCCCCUCGUAAGGACUAAUCCCAUCAUGGAGGCACCACCUUCAUGACCCCAUCUAACCGUAAUUACCUUCUAAAGGCACCACCUCCCAUAAUAUCACCCUGGGGCUUGGGGCUUCAACAUAUGGAUUUGGGGGAACACAGACAUUCAGUCCAUAGCAAGGCACAUGGGGAAGUUGGAGCAUGAGAGCAGAGGAGACACCCACACAUCUCAGGAGAGCAGUCACGUGUUCGGAGGAUGUCAAGCCACGCUGAAGGCCCCUAGCCAUGCUGGGGAGAGCAUGCUCUAGCCAUGGAGUUGAAGAUGAGGUGGGAGUUGCCCUUGAGACCUUUCAUCUAGGACCUCCCAAGUUCCAUGAAGAGACAAGAGAAAACAGUAAGGGCACUGUAUUCAAGGGAAUGAGGGGUGAUGAGUCCCUCUUGGGUUCCUCAGUAAUGUCUUCCAGGACAGUCCAUUGAUUACACCUCUGCACCAGUCAGCGGACUUUUAGUGAGCCCUGGUAAUGUGCCAGAUGCUGUGCUGUGAGUGAGAUGUGCACAUUUCCUUCCUCGUGGAGCUCACACUCUCAUGGGGCAGACACACAAUCACACAAUCGCACACAUGUGCAGUGUGCAGAGCCUCCCUACAGGCUGGCCCGUGCCUUCCAGCUGCAUUCACCUGAUAGGAGGGCCAGCUGGAGACCAGAGGCUGGAGGCAGCCAGGGAGGAAUGUGGGCACUGGUUUUCUGACUCCCUGCCCGCUGCAUUCUCUGCAGCAGGCCCAGUUCCCGCCCAGCCCCCAUGCUGCACAAGGUUCUGAGAAUCACUCCUGCCCCCACUCCAUCAGGUCCCACUUAAGGUAGCUCCACUGGCUUAGAGGACCACCCCACCCCAGGGGCUUCACCUAAACCAGUCACACUUUGUAGACAGUCCCCUCAUUGAACUCUGAUCAAAUUACCCAAUUUAAAUAUACCAUCUGUUUCCCGCAGGGACUCUGACUGACCCAGUGACCUAGUCUAGGAGGUUAGGGAGUCUUCUGAGAAAAGGAUGCUUGAGCUGAACUCUGAAGGAUUAAAUUCUCACUGCUUUUAAUAGUAGGAUCCAACAUGUGUGUUUAGUCAGUAGUGGGGGUCCUGGUAAGCUUGAGCCUGCAGUGAGGGGUGCUGCAGGGGACACAGGCGAACCCAUGAAGCCCCUCACCCCACCUCUUAGCCAUGCCUGGCCAGGGAGGGCAUCCCUAGACCCAGGCUCAGCUAUAAGAAAGAGCAAGAACCAACAAACAUUUCUUAAGCACCACUCCGGGGCCAGGCCGUGUGCUGGGCCUGAACGCUUCUCAUAGGUGACGUGGAGACCUGGGGGUGGCUGCCAUCUGGUGCUCUGGGUUUUGAGGGGUGCUCUCUGAAAGACCAAGCUGAGCAGCAGGAGGCCCAGAAAUGGGGGCUCCCAUUAGACAUUGUGGCCAGUCUCACAGCACAGCCAGAAGGGCCAGCACUGCAGGGAGGGGAGCAGAGGGGAGGAUGUGCUCUUUGGCCAGGCGAAAGCCUGGUCCCCAGGACUGAGGUCCUAGAGAAUCAGGGAUGCAGGAGAAUGAUGAAGAGAGAGGUCUCAAGGCCAAAGACAAUAAGGUGAACUGUCAGAAAGUCUGGGAGAAAGAUGAUUUGAGGGUGACCCGAGAGGCUUGCUGUCAAAUGUCCCAAGAUCGGACAGUCGAGCAAGGCAGCAUGAUGGAAGGAAUCUAGCCCUGUCCAUCCACAUAAGCCCAAUUGCAAGUGCACUGUUGGAGUCAUGAAAAAUGUAAUGUCUAGUUCUGGUGUGAGCAGGGCCACUCUCUUCCAAAGAUACUCCCAUGGGAACAGAAAAAAAGGGUAGAAGCCCGAAGAGCCAUAAAAGGCAGCAAGGUCAGGAAGCCACCAGAAUGUCAGUGAGAUGUUUAAUUUUGAAAAUCAAUUAAUGUAAUGUGUCAUAUCAACAGAUCGAAGGGAGAAAGUCCAUGCUCAGGUUUAUAGAUGCAAAGAUCUGUUUGAUAAAAUUCAACAUCCACUCAUGACUUAAUAAAGAAACAAAACCUAUGGCAAAUCACAUGUAAAAGUGUUUAAGAUAUUCCCUUUAAUAUCAGAAAAGUGGCAAGAAUGCCUUCUUUUAUCUUUUCAAUGCUGUAAUGCAUUAAAGGGCUUAGGCAGUGCAAUAAGAAGAAAAAAGAAAUAAAAGAGAGAUUGGAAAGCAAUAAUCAAAGCUGUCAUUAUUUGAGGCAGAUAGAUAAUUGAAAGUACCUCUGAUUGGUUGCAGCAGACAAUCAGAUGUUUGCAUAGAGUAAGUUUGUAACUUCAGCCUCUGGUUGCUUUCCAAAACAAUUAGACUGAUUGCCGGCCACCACUUCAUUUACAUGGGGUGAACACCAAGUGGCCAAUGGGAAACCUCUAGGGGAUAUUUGGACCCCGGAAGAUACUGUAACCGAGGCCCUUGAGCUGCUGCUCUGGCCCACUCCCACCCUGUGGCAUGUACUUUCAUUUUCAAUAAAUUUCUACUUUUGCUGCUUCAGUCUUUCCUUGCUUUGCUGUGUGUUUUGUUCAAUUCUUUGUUCAAAACACCAAGAACCUAGACAACUUGCAGUCGAUACCCUCUACAGUUAACAAGCUGGGGAAUGCUCCUUCCAGGGUCCCAAGGUCCUUGCCUGGCUGAGCUUCUGGUGGCUGCCAGCAUUCCUCGGCUUGUGGCCGCAUCACUCCAUUCUCCAUCUCCAUGGUCACAUCACUUCUUUUCUGUCUGUUUUCAGCCUCCCUCUGCCUCUCUUAUAAAGACAUUUGUGAUGCAUUUAGGGCAUACCUGGUUACUACAGGAUAAUCCCCCUUAUCAAACUCCUUAACCUAAUCACAUCUGGAAUACAUUGUUUUUGCCUAGAAAUUCAUAUUCACAGGUUGCAGGGGUUAGGACCUUCUCAGGCACCAAAUGAUAAGAAAUCAUCUUUCUGAGUAACCCACAUGGAGUGGCCGCUGGGUCCUAGAGGCGCCGUUGGCCUGACAGCAGAACUCAGGGACUCUUAAUGCCCUUGCAAAAUGAAUGCAUUUGCAUGUGGGAAGGUCUCUUGGAGUCUGCCUUAGCUCCUCUCACACAAGGUAGCAGACCUGGCCACCUUCCUCACUUGGACAGAGAGCCCUGGGGAGCUCUCAAAAAGUAGCCAGGCCCUAGAUCAAUUCAGUCAGGACCAGUGGGGGUGGGGUCCCUGCACCAAUAGGUUGUUUAACCUUCCCAGGUGAUUCUGCUGUUCAGGCAGGGCUGGGAACCAUGAACCAGGUGGACAUUAAUGUCCCUUGCAGGUGAGACAUUUGACAAAUAAGCAGAAAUGGAGCCAGGGUCUCCACUCUGGCUCCACAUCAGCAUCCCCCAGGGUAGGGACAUUGAAAAGACAGGUUUCUGCUCCCUCCCCAAGGCAGGUGAUCUAAUUGGUCUGGGUGUGACCUGGACAUCAGGACCUUCAAAUUUUCCCAGUGAUUUCCACGUGCACCCAGGUUGAGAACGCUGCGGCCCAUAAAAGGGAGCCUUACACUGUCACUGCUAUUGCAAAGGACAAUUAUCAGACCUGGGGAGACCUUCCUGAUUCUGAGUUUCCAAACCACAGAACAGCUUGUUCAGGGAGACUGUGGAAGUCAUUUCUCUAGAAAUCUUGACUGAUUCAGGAGGUUUCUAGCUGUCAGAGGAUUUAGCUAUGGUUCUGCUGUAUGAAGGUGGAGGCAUGGAUUAGGUGAUUUUCAAAAUACCCUACAACUUCUUGAGUUUAUGAAAAGUGAUAUCAUGCCUCCCCUUGAUAGAUUCCUUCACCAUUUAGACAAAGAAUAUAAAAAGAAUUAAAAUAACCCAAUGAAUUCAGGAUUGUGGAAAAUGUCAUUACUGGUAAUGAAAAUUACAGGAAGUCUUGCUGGCGCUUGCUCCCUCCCCAAAACUAACAUGAGAACAUGUUUUUUCUUCUGAUGCAAUAAUUAAGUUUGCCCAAGAAAAUGUCUCUGUGCGCACCUCAGGGCAGGGGCUAAAUGAAGCCUUUAACUAAACGAUAAAUGUGAUCGUCUCCAUGGACUGAACCCUGCCAGGGCAGACUGGCUUCCCAAGUGGAUUAAUUAACUCUUAGCAGCCCUGUGCUGGGAGGCUCUACAGAAGGGAUUUGAGAUUCCUGAGGCCCAGAAAGAUGACUUUAUUAAGAAAUGGAAGACAUUUGGGGUGACUUCUGUAGCUGGUGGCAGCCACAGUUCUAGGAUCAGAGCCUAGAAGUCAAGACCUCAAGAUGGAAAUAACAGUUCAAAGGCAGUCUCAUCAGAUAGCACUGGGAGGAAGACACAGAUUGGUUCAGCACUGAGCACAGACGAUGUGUCUACCCUGUGUGUCUCCCUGCUCUCAGGAGGUCGUGCUGUAGUGGAGGACAGAUCUCAAUGCAGGAGUCUCCCAGCUGGGUGGGGAUGGGUGUGCUCAGAGCACUGACCCAGACUGGGGCUGGGAUGGGUGGCAUCUGGCUGGAGAGCUGAAGACUGGGAGGAAGUAAAACAGGGCUCGGAGCCAGGAAGUGGAUGCACAGGCCACAGUAGAAGCAGAUCAUUUACUCAGUUGCAGAACACGCAAUGAAGGUUUAGCCUCACUAGCAAUCAAUGAAACAAAAAAUUAAAAGCCUCUUGCAGAGUCAUUUUUCUCCUCUGGAAGAAUACUCAAGGGAUGAGCGGGGUGUAAUGAACUGGUUCUCCCUGUCUUGAGGGUGAAAGUGUGAACCAUCAUGAACCUUCCAAAAAAUAAUUUGGCAUUCUGUGUCAGGCCCAGAUGUAUCUUGCAACUAAUUAUUUUCACUCAUGAGAAUUUAUUCCAAGAAGCAAUCCACCUUCCAAAGGCUUUAUGCCCUGCACUGCUAUUUAUAAGAGUUGUCAGCAGAAGCCAAACCCUUCUCCUGCCAGCACAUAGAAAUAACCUUUAUGCCCCCAGCUAGGUGUACAUGUAUUCCAUAUAAGGGAUAUUAUUAGGCUAUGAAUAUAAAAUGUAUGAAGACAUAAAAAAUGCCAAUGAUACAAAAAUAUUAAAUGUGACAUGCAACAUAAAAACUAUAUUUAU